AACGAACGUUAGCGGCGCGCUUAACACAUGCAAGUCGAGCGAGAAAGGGCUUCGGCCCCGGUAAAGCGGCGCACGGGUGAGUAACACGUAGGUAAUCUGCCCUCAGGUGGUGGAUAACUUUCCGAAAGGAAGGCUAAUACAGCAUGAGACCACGGUUCCGAAAGGGACAGGGGUCAAAGCCGGCCAAUUCAUGAAAGCUGGUGCCAGAGGAUGAGCCUGCGGCCCAUCAGCUAGUUGGUAGGGUAAUGGCCUACCAAGGCGAAGACGGGUAGCGGGUCUGGGGGGAGGUACAGGCAGGCUGGAACUGGGACACGGUCCGGACACCGACGGGAGGAAGGAGUGGGGAAUCUUGCGCAAGGGGCGAAAGCCUGACGCAGCGACGCCGCGUGAGUGAUGAAGGCCCUCGGGUUGUAAAGCUCUGUGGAGGGGGACGAAUAAGGGUUGGCUAAUAUCCAACUUGAUGACGGUACCCCUUUAGCAAGCACCGGCUAACUCUGUGCCAGCAGCCGCCGUAACAC
rnacentral:rRNA from 1 species